rnacentral:rRNA from 1 species
GCGAACGGGUGAGUAAUAUAUCGGAACGUGCCCUAGAGUGGGGGAUAACUAGUCGAAAGACUAGCUAAUACCGCAUACGAUCUAAGGAUGAAAGUGGGGGAUCGCAAGACCUCAUGCUCGUGGAGCGGCCGAUAUCUGAUUAGCUAGUUGGUGGGGUAAAAGCCUACCAAGGCAACGAUCAGUAGCUGGUCUGAGAGGACGACCAGCCACACUGGGACUGAGACACGGCCCAGACUCCUACGGGAGGCAGCAGUGGGGAAUUUUGGACAAUGGGGGCAACCCUGAUCCAGCAAUGCCGCGUGAGUGAAGAAGGCCUUCGGGUUGUAAAGCUCUUUUGUCAGGGAAGAAACGGUUCUGGAUAAUACCUGGGACUAAUGACGGUACCUGAAGAAUAAGCACCGGCUAACUACGUGCCAGCAGCCGCGGUAAUACGUAGGGUGCAAGCGUUAAUCGGAAUUACUGGGCGUAAAGCGUGCGCAGGCGGUUGUGUAAGUCAGAUGUGAAAUCCCCGGGCUCAACCUGGGAAUUGCAUUUGAGACUGCACGGCUAGAGUGUGUCAGAGGGGGGUAGAAUUCCACGUGUAGCAGUGAAAUGCGUAGAUAUGUGGAGGAAUACCGAUGGCGAAGGCAGCCCCCUGGGAUAACACUGA